UAGGGAAUCUUCCGCAAUGGACGCAAGUCUGACGGAGCAACGCCGCGUGAGUGAAGAAGGUUUUCGGUUCGUAAAACUCUGUUGUUAGAGAAGAACAGCGCAUAGAGUAACUGUUAUGCGUGUGACGGUAUCUAACCAGAAAGCCACGGCUAACUACGUGCCAGCAGCCGCGGUAAUACGUAGGUGGCAAGCGUUGUCCGGAUUUAUUGGGCGUAAAGCGAGCGCAGGCGGUCAAUUAAGUCUGAUGUGAAAGCCCCCGGCUCAACCGGGGAGGGUCAUUGGAAACUGGUUGACUUGAGUGCAGAAGAGGAGAGUGGAAUUCCAUGUGUAGCGGUGAAAUGCGUAGAUAUAUGGAGGAACACCAGUGGCGAAGGCGACUCUCUGGUCUGUAACUGACGCUGAGGUUCGAAAGCGUGGGUAGCAAACAGG
rnacentral:rRNA from 1 species